rnacentral:rRNA from 1 species
GAUGAACGCUAGCUACAGGCUUAACACAUGCAAGUCGAGGGGCAGCGGUAUCGAAAGCUUGCUUUCGGUAGCCGGCGACCGGCGCACGGGUUAGUAACGCGUAUCGAACCUGCCUCAUACUCGGGAAUAGCCUUGCGAAAGUAAGAUUAAUGCCCGGUGUUUUCAGAGUCCCGCAUGAGGCUUUGAACAAAGAUUUAUCGGUAUGAGAUGGCGAUGCGUCCCAUUAGCUUGUUGGCGGGGUAACGGCCCACCAAGGCAUCGAUGGGUAGGGGUUCUGAGAGGAAGGUCCCCCACAUUGGAACUGAGACACGGUCCAAACUCCUACGGGAGGCAGCAGUGAGGAAUAUUGGUCAAUGGGCGGAAGCCUGAACCAGCCAAGUAGCGUGCAGGAAGACGGCCCUCCGGGUUGUAAACUGCUUUUAGUUGGGAAUAAAACGGGGCUCGUGAGCCCCCUUGCAUGUACCAUCAGAAAAAGGACCGGCUAAUUCCGUG